rnacentral:rRNA from 1 species
GAUGAACGCUAGCUACAGGCUUAACACAUGCAAGUCGAGGGGCAGCGCAGUGUAGCAAUACAUGGUCGGCGACCGGCGCACGGCUGCGUAACGCGUAUCCAACCUUCCCGUUACUCAGGGAUAGCAUUCCGAAAGGGAGAUUAAUAUCUUAUGGUGUUGAAAUUACGCAUGUUAUUUCAACUAAAGAUUUAUCGGUAACGGAGGGGGAUGCGUGACAUUAGAUAGUAAGCGGGGUAACGGACCACCUAGUCUACGAUGUCUAGGGGUUCUGAGAGGAAGGUCCACCACACUGGAACUGAGACACGGUCCAGACUCCGACGGGAGGCAGCAGUGAGGAAUAUUGGUCAAUGGUCGGAAGACUGAACCAGCCAAGUAGCGUGAAGGAUGAAGGUUCUAUGGAUUGUAAACUUCUUUUAUACGGGAAUAAAACCUCCAACGUGUGGGAGCUUGUAUGUACCGUAUGAAUCAGCAUCGGCUAACUCCGUGCCAGCAGCCGCCGUAAGAC